GACUGGUCAGAAGGUAGUGAGUUAUCUCAUUUGAUUGUUCAGUCAGUUAGAUUAAACUCCUUGCUCACUACUUCCCUUCUCACUACUGUACUUGACUAGUCUUAA
rnacentral:Y_RNA from 1 species